rnacentral:rRNA from 1 species
GAUGAACGCUGGCGGCGUGCUUAACACAUGCAAGUCGAACGGAAAGGCCCAAGCUUGCUUGGGUACUCGAGUGGCGAACGGGUGAGUAACACGUGGGUGAUCUGCCCUGCACUUCGGGAUAAGCCUGGGAAACUGGGUCUAAUACCGGAUAGGACCACUUCUUGGAUGUUGUGGUGGAAAGUUUUUUCGGUGUGGGAUGAGCUCGCGGCCUAUCAGCUUGUUGGUGGGGUAAUGGCCUACCAAGGCGUCGACGGGUAGCCGGCCUGAGAGGGUGUACGGCCACAUUGGGACUGGGGUACGGCCCAGACUCCUACGGGAGGCAGGAGUGGGGAAUAUUGCACAAUGGGCGCGAGCCUGAUGCAGCGACGCCGCGGGGGGGAUGACGGCCUUCGGGUUGUAAACUCCUUUCGCUAGGGACGAAGCGUUUUGUGACGGUACCUGGAGAAGAAGCACCGGCUAACUACGUG